AAGGAAAGAUCCAGCAGUAGCAGGGAUGGAAGAAUUGGAUGAGGAAGAGAAGAUAGUUGAUUGGAGCUUAAAUCAAGUGAUAUCAGUCCUAGUCCAAUUGAUGGGAAGGCUUGAGGAUCUAUCUGAAAUAUGAAGAAUUUUCAAACUAUGAAAAUGCUCAGCUGCUUGGUGGGCAACACAUAUAGAAUUGCACACAAUAGAAUAGCGUCAAUUUUUUAUUUGUAG
ensembl:ncRNA F10F2.16 ncRNA